GACGAACGCUGGCGGCGUGCUUAACACAUGCAAGUCGAACGGAAAGGCCCUGCUUUUGUGGGGUGCUCGAGUGGCGAACGGGUGAGUAACACGUGAGUAACCUGCCCUUGACUUUGGGAUAACUUCAGGAAACUGGGGCUAAUACCGGAUAGGAGCUCAUGCUGCAUGGUGGGGGUUGGAAAGUUUCGGCGGUUGGGGAUGGACUCGCGGCUUAUCAGCUUGUUGGUGGGGUAGUGGCUUACCAAGGCUUUGACGGGUAGCCGGCCUGAGAGGGUGACCGGCCACAUUGGGACUGAGAUACGGCCCAGACUCCUACGGGAGGCAGCAGUGGGGAAUAUUGCACAAUGGGCGGAAGCCUGAUGCAGCAACGCCGCGUGCGGGAUGACGGCCUUCGGGUUGUAAACCGCUUUCGCCUGUGACGAAGCGUGAGUGACGGUAAUGGGUAAAGAAGCGCCGGCUAACUACGUG
rnacentral:rRNA from 1 species